CACUUUCAAGGAACAUCAAAAUCAGCAUGCUUCUUUAAGCAAUGUCCAAAGGGGAGUGAAAGGACUUCAUUGUUUAUGGUGUAAAUGUUUUUAAGCAUUAAAUGGCAGCCUAUAUUGUUUAUAUUGGAUUUAGAUCCAAAGCAGCUCUUGAAGCUGUUUUGUCAGGUGUUAAACUGCACGUAAAGACACCACGUUACUGCCUUGCAGUUGUAUCAUAAAUUAUCAGAUGAUAAAAAGAGGACAAUGCACUACUAUUGUAAAGAAGAGCUAUAAAGCAUAUGAAUCUUCUGCAGAUAUCAAUAACAUGGCAGUCACAAGAUUAAAAUCUGAGUAUUUUUAUGUUGUCUGGGCCUGAAGUGUUUAUUUACCUUAAAUCUAUUUUCUGCCUUGUGAGUUGUUGAGGUUUGCAAGUAUUUACGGUCAAAUGGAUCUGAGGCUGAACACAUGACCCAAUCUAAGAUCUUGGAGGUCAGAGAAAAAGCCAUCAUUUCUCUUGUGUCUACCACUGGGUUUGAGGAACACAGAUAUUUAUAUAUGCGCUGGUCGGGGGGAUGAGAUUUUUGCACUAUAAACUUGUCAUUUUGUUGAAAUAUACAGAGUGGUUGUUUACUUCUAAAUGUAAAUCAUAAGGCACAAACAGACAUUAGGACUGCAUAUUCUAUCUUGUAGAUUCAGUACAAAACCAUGCACCCAGGAUGGAUAUUUCAAAGCUCAUGAAAACAACAGAUCCAUGUUUACCUACAAUUUAUUUGCAGGCUGCAGCUGAAUUGGUUAACAGCUGAUGCAAAUUGUUAUGAGUGAGUAAAGGGCCCACCCUCCUUGUAACUCUACUGAAACAGAAAGACCUGUAAAAAAUACCUCUCCCAAUUUUGAAGAAAUUGUCUUGUGGCCUUCAGUUGCUUUUUGUUUUAAUCCAGUUUAUAUGCUUAAUCCUUAAAGGCAAAUAAAGGUUCCCUGAAUACAUUCUUCCAGAGACUGAGCUGUCUUCCAUCACCAUGUUCGUUGCUGCUACUGUUUUAACUCUCUCAGGACAAGGAAACCACCUCAAAAUGCAACUGGAAGGUGCUUUAAGAAGUUAUACUCUCAUGUUUUCUUUCAAGGGUAACCUAGUGUCUCUCACAAACCUGUCAAAAUUCCUCCAAGAUACAAAAUAUGAUGGAAAAUCAAGAUGACCAGCAGCAGAGGACUCAGAUCACUUACAACCACGUUUAGGUGAAGGAUUGUCUUCUGCAGCUGGUACAUGGCAUGUUCUUCUCUUCUUCUUCUCCAUUUGCUUGGCUUUAACCACUUUGAAAUAAACGUUCAACAGGAAAUUGUGUACUACUUUAG
rnacentral:lncRNA from 1 species